GGCCAGAUAGCACAGUGGUUAGUGCACAGAUAUUUGAUUGGCAGUAUUCGAUCUGCUACCCUCGUUCGACUCGGGUCUGGCCU